UACGGGGGGGGCAAGCGUUGUUCGGAAUUACUGGGCGUAAAGGGCUCGUAGGCGGCCAACUAAGUCAGACGUGAAAUCCCUCGGCUUAACCGGGGAACUGCGUCUGAUACUGGGUGGCUUGAGUUUGGGAGAGGGAUGCGGAAUUCCAGGUGUGGCGGUGAAAUGCGUAGAUAUCUGGAGGAACACCGGUGGCGAAGGCGGCAUCCUGGACCAACACUGACGCUGAGUGAGCGAAAGCCAGGGGAGCAAACGGG
rnacentral:rRNA from 1 species